AUAAUUGUAGUACACAUUUAUUUUUAUUUUUUUUUGUUAUGUGGUAGUAUUCCUUAAAUGUAAAUGAUAAGUAGUUAGAAUUUAGUUUACAAUUAGUCGGUUUUGGAUUUUUUUUUUAUAUAAAUAAUUUGAAUCAAUAAGUCCAUGUCAAAAUUCUUUAAUGAUUUUUUUUUCUUUCCUCCAAAUAUUAUGUUACUGAUAAGUGGAUAACCUAUAAAAUUUUUUUAAUCUAUCAAAAUUAACCAUAAAUCUCAUUUAUAGGCAAUAACAAGCUACUUAACAUUUGGGUUGUGUGGUUCCUAUUUUGAUUUCGGUUCAGUUCUUUAUAAGAACCAAAAUCAGAACUGAAGUUCGAUUUUUUCAUUUUUUGGAACCAAAAGAAGAACCAAAUUUUAGUUUCGAUUUUGGUUCCGACUCUAAGUGCUUUCGGUUCCGAUUCAGUUCUGCUUUCGAUUUCAUUUUCAAUUUCAAUUUCAAUUCGGUUUAAUUUUUGGUUCCUACACUUAAAAUUGGAGUAUUA
rnacentral:misc_RNA from 1 species